rnacentral:tRNA from 1 species
CAAGUUAAAGCUUUAAAGAAGUUUUUUAGUUACAUUAAAAAGAUUAUUUUGAUUAAUAUAAUUUGA